AGAUUUACAAUUUUUGGAUAUUGAGGCAGAAUUGGAUUCAAAUAGAGCCAAACAACGACCCUAACUAAUUUGGGAUAAAGGCUUAGUUGUUGUUGUUGUAGUACAACUCUGACGCUGACCCUUUUAAUCAUUGUCUUGUGCAAUAAAAGAACAAAAACAAAACUUUGUAAAAAAAAUACCUGGAGAAUAGUUAUGCUACUAAACUACAACUACCACAGUUAUAGUACUAUCAAUGUAUAAUUGCAUAUAAAUUAGGAACUAUUUAUGUUUUGAAAUGUUUGGUUAGUACUACCAAGUAAAUGUGAAAUGCAAUAAUUAACUGAGGAUAUGCAAGCCAAACAAACAACUUACCU
rnacentral:misc_RNA from 1 species